UGACACAGGAAAUGUUUCGAUGCCACUGA
rnacentral:sRNA from 1 species